GCUAGUAAUCGUGGAUCAGAAUGCCACGGUGAAUACGUUCCCGGGCCUUGUACACACCGCCCGUCACACCAUGGGAGUGGGCUGCAAAAGAAGUAGGUAGUUUAACCUUCGGGGGGACGCUUACCACUUUGUGGUUCAUGACUGGGGUGAAGUCGUAACAAGGUAGCGCUAGGGGAACCUGGCGCUGGAUCACCUCCUUAAACGAUGAU
rnacentral:rRNA from 1 species